ACAGACAUAAACAGUUUUUUAGCCCCAGUUUUGGACCGUCUUCUCUGACAGGAAUUUUCCACGAGGAGAGGCUGCACCUGGAGGAAUGAGGGCCAACAUCACAGGAGUCUCAGCACCUACAAUGAUACAGAUUGCCUUAUGAGUUAUGACUUCCGCCGCACAUGGAAUGAGGCGCACGUACAGUUCGACUUACGCCGCUAAACCUCGCAACUCGGAAUGAGCUUCAUUUACAGCGUCGUAACCACGAAACGACGUAACUCGAGACCGUCGUAACCCGAGGACUACCUGUAUGUGAAAGGAACUUUGUUAUUGACACUUGUGCAUACUUGUAAAUAUUUUGUUUCCCCUUGUUUUUAAUGUUUGAAUAAACAAACAUGGAAAAAAAA